rnacentral:lncRNA from 1 species
CACCGAAAAAAUAGAACACAACUAAUUAAUUUAUUGGAAUUAGCCAACAAAGCAUGCAUUGGUAACAAUUGAGCCUUUUAAAACUUUCUUAUUAGUAGAUUGUAGGGCAUAAUCUUUAAUAUACUGAGAAACAUAUAAAAGAUACGUCUUUUAAUAGUUGAGCUAUUUUGGCAACACUCCUGUUGUUCUACACACGGAGAAAACGAAGUACUCAAAAAUAAGUUUUUUUAUACUCAAAUUUGAGUAAAGCAGUCGAACUGAAGUAGUGGGUAAAUUUCAUUCUGUCAAUUACAUACAUUUAACCCAACCUUUGAGUUCUCUAUCGAAAACUCAAAUUUGAGUAAAAAUCAAUUUGUUCAAUUUAUUGCAGUCAUUUAGGCUGCGUUCCAGCCGUUGGGAAAUUAAAACACAAUUUUGGAUGAAAAAAUGUAGCAGCCACUUUAAAAUGUCAACACAGAUCAUUCCAUGUUAGCCAUCGUCGGUGAAGGAUGUAAAUCGUGAUCGUUUCUAAAAAAUAGUCGCAAAAUUGGUGGAUUAGUGUAGUGAUUUUUUAAAGAUCCUCAGUUGUCCUGUGUCCACUAUCAUAACUACUGUUUGUCGUCCCUGCCACUCGUUGUGAACGAUUUCCGGAACCGAGAUGCUGGUUACUGAUCUCAAAAGAAUUACCGCACUGAUUUCGACAGAUGGCACCCCGCUCCGAGCUUUGUUUUCCCGUUCCAGCCACCCUGUGCCACCGCCUAAUUGAAGUAAAUUUUCACACCCGAUACCAAAUGUUCUUUUGCACCGUGAACGUCGCUCCUGGCAUCCACGUCGUUGACUAAAAGCUUCAAGCGAAUAAAGGUUUUUUUUAAAAAUUAAUCUUUUGCUCUUUAUAUAUCACAAACACAUGCUUAUUAUAUCAAUUUUAAUAUUAUUUUUGUUUUGGAUUUCGCUUCGUAUGAAAAUACCUAUUUUUGAGUUUUUACUCCCAAGUUAACGUUGAGUAAAAAUCACCCACCGAUUUGAUUUGGUACAAUUACUCAAAUUUGAGUACUAGGCUUUUUACUCAAAUUUGGGGUAACGCACUAACGUGCCGAGUUGGGUCAAAAGAACCCAAAUUUGAGUAUGUCAUUUUCUCCGGAGAAAACGAAGUACUCAAAAAUAAGUUUUUUUAUACUCAAAUUUGAGUAAAGCAGUCGAACUGAAGUAGUGGGUAAAUUUCAUUCUGUCAAUUACAUACAUUUAACCCAACCUUUGAGUUCUCUAUCGAAAACUCAAAUUUGAGUAAAAAUCAAUUUGUUCAAUUUAUUGCAGUCAUUUAGGCUGCGUUCCAGCCGUUGGGAAAUUAAAACACAAUUUUGGAUGAAAAAAUGUAGCAGCCACUUUAAAAUGUCAACACAGAUCAUUCCAUGUUAGCCAUCGUCGGUGAAGGAUGUAAAUCGUGAUCGUUUCUAAAAAAUAGUCGCAAAAUUGGUGGAUUAGUGUAGUGAUUUUUUAAAGAUCCUCAGUUGUCCUGUGUCCACUAUCAUAACUACUGUUUGUCGUCCCUGCCACUCGUUGUGAACGAUUUCCGGAACCGAGAUGCUGGUUACUGAUCUCAAAAGAAUUACCGCACUGAUUUCGACAGAUGGCACCCCGCUCCGAGCUUUGUUUUCCCGUUCCAGCCACCCUGUGCCACCGCCUAAUUGAAGUAAAUUUUCACACCCGAUACCAAAUGUUCUUUUGCACCGUGAACGUCGCUCCUGGCAUCCACGUCGUUGACUAAAAGCUUCAAGCGAAUAAAGGUUUUUUUUAAAAAUUAAUCUUUUGCUCUUUAUAUAUCACAAACACAUGCUUAUUAUAUCAAUUUUAAUAUUAUUUUUGUUUUGGAUUUCGCUUCGUAUGAAAAUACCUAUUUUUGAGUUUUUACUCCCAAGUUAACGUUGAGUAAAAAUCACCCACCGAUUUGAUUUGGUACAAUUACUCAAAUUUGAGUACUAGGCUUUUUACUCAAAUUUGGGGUAACGCACUAACGUGCCGAGUUGGGUCAAAAGAACCCAAAUUUGAGUAUGUCAUUUUCUCCGUGCAGGCAAUCAGAGGAUGAUGU